CUACGGGAGGCAGCAGUGGGGAAUCUUGCGCAAUGGGCGAAAGCUUGACGCAGCAACGCCGCGUGAGUGAUGAAGGCCUUCGGGUCGUAAAGCUCUGUCGGGAGGAACGAAUACCCGCCGGGAACAAUACCCCUGCGGUUUGACGGUACCUCCAAAGGAAGCACCGGCUAACUCCGUGCCAGCAGCCGCGGUAAUACGGAGGGUGCAAGCGUUGUUCGGAAUUACUGGGCGUAAAGCGCGUGUAGGCGGACCUAGAAGUCGGGUGUGAAAGCCCUGGGCUCAACUCAGGAAGUGCGCCCGAAACCAUAGGUCUUGAGGUCCGGAGGGGAUCGGGGAAUUCCUGGUGUAGAGGUGAAAUUCGUAGAUAUCAGGAGGAACACCGGCGGCGAAGGCGCCGAUCUGGACGGAUUCUGACGCUGAGACGCGAAAGCGUGGGUAGCAAACAGGAUUAGAUACCCUGGUAGUCCACGCCGUAAACGAUGUGCACUAGGUGUCGGGGGUAUUGACCCCCCCGGUGCCGACGCUAACGCAUUAAGUGCACCGCCUGGGAAGUACGGCCGCAAGGUUGAAACUCAAAGGAAUUGACGG
rnacentral:rRNA from 1 species